rnacentral:rRNA from 1 species
GACGAACGCUGGCGGCGUGCUUAACACAUGCAAGUCGAACGGAAAGGCCCUGCUUUUGUGGGGUGCUCGAGUGGCGAACGGGUGAGUAACACGUGAGUAACCUGCCCUUGACUUUGGGAUAACUUCAGGAAACUGGGGCUAAUACCGGAUAGGAGCUCCUGCUGCAUGGUGGGGGUUGGAAAGUUUCGGCGGUUGGGGAUGGACUCGCGGCUUAUCAGCUUGUUGGUGGGGUAGUGGCUUACCAAGGCUUUGACGGGUAGCCGGCCUGAGAGGGUGACCGGCCACAUUGGGACUGAGAUACGGCCCAGACUCCUACGGGAGGCAGCAGUGGGGAAUAUUGCACAAUGGGCGGAAGCCUGAUGCAGCAACGCCGCGUGCGGGAUGACGGCCUUCGGGUUGUAAACCGCUUUCGCCUGUGACGAAGCGUGAGUGACGGUAAUGGGUAAAGAAGCACCGGCUAACUACGUGCCAGCAGCCGCGGUGAUACGUAGGGUGCGAGCGUUGUCCGGAUUUAUUGGGCGUAAAGGGCUCGUAGGUGGUUGAUCGCGUCGGAAGUGUAAUCUUGGGGCUUAACCCUGAGCGUGCUUUCGAUACGGGUUGACUUGAGGAAGGUAGGGGAGAAAUGGAAUUCCUGGUGGAGCGGGGGAAUGCGCAGAUAUCAGGAGGAACACCAGUGGCGAAGGCGGUUCUCUGGGCCUUUCCUGACGCUGAGGAGCGAAAGCGUGGGGAGCGAACAGGCUUAGAUACCCUGGUAGUCCACGCUGUAAACGGUGGGUACUAGGUGUGGGGUCCAUUCCACGGGUUCCGUGCCGCAGCUAACGCUUUAAGUACCCCGCCUGGGGAGUACGGCCGCAAGGCUAAAACUCAAAGGAAUUGACGGGGCCCCGCACAAGCGGCGGAGCAUGCGGAUUAAUUCGAUGCAACGCGUAGAACCUUACCUGGGUUUGACAUGGAUCGGGAGUGCUCAGAGAUGGGUGUGCCUCUUUUGGGGUCGGUUCACAGGUGGUGCAUGGCUGUCGUCAGCUCGUGUCGUGAGAUGUUGGGUUAAGUCCCGCAACGAGCGCAACCCUUGUUCACUGUUGCCAGCACGUUAUGGUGGGGACUCAGUGGAGACCGCCGGGGUCAACUCGGAGGAAGGUGGGGAUGACGUCAAGUCAUCAUGCCCCUUAUGUCCAGGGCUUCACGCAUGCUACAAUGGCUGGUAUAGAGAGUGGCGAGCCUGUAAGGGUGAGCGAAUCUCGGAAAGCCGGUCCCAGUUCGGAUUGGGGUCUGCAACUCGACCUCAUGAAGUCGGAGUCGCUAGUAAUCGCAGAUCAGCAACGCUGCGGUGAAUACGUUCCCGGGGCU